AUCGAACGCUGGCGGCAGGCCUAACACAUGCAAGUCGAACGAGUGGCGGACGGGCGAGUAAUGUCUGGGCAACUGCCUGACGGAGGGGGAUAAGUACUGGAAACGGUAGCUAAUACCGCAUAACACCAGAUGUGGCCAGAUUGGAUUAGCUUGUCGGUGGGGUAACGGCUCACCAAGGCGACGAUGCCUAGCUGGUCUGAGAGGGUGACCAGCCACACUGGGACUGAGACACGGUCCAGACUCCUACGGGAGGCAGCAGUAGGGAAUAUUGCACAAUGGGCGCAAGCCUGAUGCAGCCAUGCCGCGUGAAUGAAGAAGGCCUUCGGGUUGUAAAGUACUUUCAGCGGGGAGGCGUUACCCACAGAGAAAGCACCGGCUAACUCCGUGCCAGCCGCCGCGGUAAUAC
rnacentral:rRNA from 1 species